CCUGAACGCUGGCGGCGUGGCUAAGACAUGCAAGUCGCACGGGGUCGCAAGACCCACGUGGCGGACGGGUGAGUAAUUUAUCGCUAAUGUACCCUAGAGCCAGGGAUAGCUGCCCGAAAGGGCAGGUAAUACCUGAUGAUAUAACUUUAUCGCAUGAUAAGGUUCUCAAAGACAGCAAUGCACUCUUGGAGCAGGCGAUAUCGUAUCAGCUAGUUGGUGAGGUAACGGCUCACCAAGGCGAUGACGCGUAGCUGGUCUGAGAGGACGGACCAGCCACAUCGGGACGUGAGACACU
rnacentral:rRNA from 1 species